GGUGCACAUGAUGAUUCUCUAGCGACCAAAGCCUGACUCCAUCUGAUUACAGCCUAGUAGUGACUGAUGCACC